UGGGGAAUAUUGCACAAUGGGCGCAAGCCUGACGCAGCCAUGCCGCGUGUAUGAAGAAGGCCUUCGGGUUGUAAAGUACUUUCAGCGAGGAGGAAGGCAUUGUGGUUAAUAACCGCAGUGAUUGACGUUACUCGCAGAAGAAGCACCGGCUAACUCCGUACCAGCAGCCGCGGUAUACGGAGGGUGCAAGCGUUAAUCGGAAUUACUGGGCGUAAAGCGCACGCAGGCGGUCUGUCAAGUCGGAUGUGAAAUCCCCGGGCUCAACCUGGGAACUGCAUUCGAAACUGGCAGGCUAGAGUCUUGUAGAGGGGGUAGAAUUCCAGGUGUAGCGGUGAAAUUGCGUAGAGAUCUGGAGGAAUACCGGUGGCGAAGGCGGCCCCCUGGACAAAGACUGACGCUCAGGUGCGAAAGCGUGGGAGCAAACA
rnacentral:rRNA from 1 species